rnacentral:lncRNA from 1 species
CUAAUGAAGAAAUCCAUGCAGAUUGAGAAGCACUGCCCAUGUCCACAACAUUAUCAUGAGAGUUUCUAUUUACAGUAUCCAUAAUGAUUUCCUGGUGCACAUUCAAAUUGUUACUGUCACGCAAAGGGAAUUUCUGUUGGACGAGAAGGGAUGUAUCAUAAAAGGCCAGGGGUUCAUCCUCUGUUGAGGCCUCAGAUGUAUCAACAGAGAAUAUAUCAGUGUUGAACGAAAAAAUAUGUUCAUAAAAAAUGACAUCCCGAGAUA